AUGCGAGUUAACUCGUGCUUUUAACCCCUCAUCAUCAGCAUUGACAAUAGUAACAAAAUCUAUUUUCGCUGUGUCUGGUUUUAAAGCCACGCCUACCCUAACUUAAUGCUGGCAAGGCUCCCCUCAACGGCUACGCUAUUUAUAGCCUAAUUCCCACUUCACUCUGCUGCAACCUCUUUUUCAACUUUUCUUGUGUCUUUUCUUUCCCGAGAAAGUGAAGCCCAAAAUGUUGGCUCAGGAAAUUUCAAUUUCUUGCUUCUUUCUCUUCUCCGUCUUCUGCUUGUUCGUUUCGGGGCCUGUUUCGUCUGCCAACGGUGAUUUCUCUGCUUUGCUAUCGUUCAAGGAGUCCUUAUUACAGCCUUCUCAAGUGCUUUCCUCUUGGGUUAACUCUAGCAGCCCUUGCUUGGACUCCUGGAUUGGCGUCACCUGCAACCCCAGAACCCAGAGAGUUACCCGACUCGUCCUCGACAAUCUCAACCUCACUGCCUCCAUUCACCCACUAGCUCAACUAACUCAGCUCCGACUCCUUAGCCUCAAGAACAACCGUCUCUCCUCUUCUUCCAACCUCAACCUCUCUUCAUGGCCAAGCCUCAAGCACCUCUACCUCUCUUUCAACCGACUCUCUGGAAAAUUCCCUUCUGGGGUAUCAUGUCUCCGGCGCCUUCACCGCCUCGACCUCUCUCACAAUUACUUUUCUGGUGAUAUUCCGAUUGAUGAACUUGCUAGGUUACCGCACUUGCUGACACUUCGACUUGAGGCCAACUCCUUCGCUGGGACUAUCGACUUUGUUAACCCAUUAUCUUCUUCCAUUUUAGAAUUUAAUGUAUCGAAUAACCAUCUCUCCGGCAAAAUUCCUGCAUGGCUAACCCGUUUCCCCGCUAGUUCGUUCUCUGGUAAUGAUCAUCUAUGCGGUGAACCGUUGAGGAGCGAAUGCUCUAAUCAAACUGUGCGGAGCCAGCCUGUACAAUCAAGCAGUUCUGUAACGGAGAAGAAAAGGAGUAAAUGGGUGGUGUUUAUGAUCGUGGGUAUCGACACGGCGGCGAUUGUGGCGGCGAUCGCAACCAUAACAUGCUGUUGUUAUUAUAGGAGAAUAAGAAAUAGUGGGAACCAUGGAGAAGUUAUCGAGAGGAAAGAUGGGUUACAUCCCCAAAUUGGAGGCUAUUACUACGGCGGCGCUGGUGGGCGCAGAGAGGGGGAGGAGAUGGUAGUGUUUGAAGGGUGCAAGAGUUUUAAUGGCGUGGAUGAUCUGUUGAAAUCCUCAGCUGAGUUGUUAGGGAAGGGUUCCAUUGGGGCCACUUACAAGGUAGAGAUGAAUGGAGGAGAUGUGUUAGUGGUGAAGAGGGUAAAAGAAAGAAGGCGGAAGAGGGAGGUUUCUGGAUGGCUGAGAGUGAUAGGUGGGUUGAGGCAUGGUAACAUUGCAAGCCUGAGAGCAUAUUAUAAUUCCAAGGAUGAGAUGCUUUUGGUCUAUGACUAUCUACCAAAUGGAAGCCUACAAUCUCUCUUGCAUGGGAACAGAGGACCAGGGAGGACUCCAUUGGACUGGGCCACACGGCUAAAAAUAGCUUCAGGUUCUGUAAAAGGCCUUGCCUUCUUGCAUGGAUACAAUAAGGCAAAGCUCUUCCAUGGGAACCUCACAUCUUCGAAUAUCUUAGUUGAUCAGUUUGGCAAUGCCUGCAUUUCUGAGAUUUGCCUCCGCCAACUCUUGCACUCACCCUCUCCUUUAUCAAACAAUUCCUACAAAGCCCCUGAACUAAUGCCUAACAACAAUAACAGUGUCGGGCAUGGAAAUGGAAAGUUCACUCAGAAAUGUGAUGUUUAUAGCUUUGGGGUGAUUUUGCUAGAGAUUCUGACGGGGAAAAUGCCAAAUUGUGAGGGAGAAAAAAGUUUAGUGAGGUGGGUUCAGAGAGUUUGGCGAGAAGAGUGGACUUGGGAGGUGUUUGAUUUUGAGUUGUAUAGGUGCAAGGAGAUGGAAGAAGAAAUGAUGGCUCUUAUGCAAGUAGCUUUACUUUGCUUGGCUCCAUUGCCCAGAGACCGUCCAAAGAUGAGCAUGGUGCAUAGGAUGAUUGAAGAUAUUAGGACUAAGGGUGCAAGACAAGGUGGCAUUGGCAGCCCAAAUUCCAUUCUCAAUGAUCUUUCAUCUGAUUCAUCUCCUUCUGUAUCAGAAAACACCAUUAACUUUAUUAGUAGCAGUUGAUUGAAAAAUGGAACAGAGCUGGUUAACUUCAUUUGUUCUUGUAGAGAACUGUUCUUGGAAUAUCUAAAACUGGCGCUGUUCAGUUGUUGUAGAGGCAGAAGAUAGGUUGCAGCACCACCCAGCAAGAAAAAUCUGACGUCCUGCCAUAGAGAGGCUCAUAUGUUUAUUUGCUUGGUGGUCUAGAGACAGGAUUUAGGUUUUAAUAUUUAUCGUUACUAGUUCAUGAUCUAAGAUGCUAAUAAAUUGCCAAUUAUCAGUAAUUAAAAAGCUUGCCACUUGUCCCCAUCUGAAUUGUAUUAUUGUUCUUUUUGUGCAAUUCACAUACUAUCAACUGCCCAAAACACCAAAUGGGUUGUAGUAGUUGGUUCUGAACACAGAUUUGAAUGAGCUGUACAGGGCCAUGAACAUAGGACAAAACUAGAAGCUGACGUGAGAACAACUUGAGCCAAUUGUAUUGUGAAUCUAAUACUGCAGUGCUGGAAAAAGAGGAUAUGGUCAAGAGGUGCCAGUUUUUCCUUACAGGUAAUCUAAAUGGGCUGGCAUUGGGGUCCAGUGCCACCCAAGGAUAGUGCCCAUAAGUUUAGG
rnacentral:misc_RNA from 1 species